GUGUUAGCUUUGACAGCUCACAUACUAAAAUUAGAACAGGCAAAGAUUAUCUUGGUUCUUAUACCAGGAUGACAUGCAAAUUCAUGAGACAUCCCAUGUUUUU
ensembl:snRNA U6 U6 spliceosomal RNA